GUGCGAGACCGAUAGCGAACAAGUACCGUGAGGGAAAGAUGAAAAGAACUUUGAAAAGAGAGUUAAAGAGUACCUGAAACUGCUGAAAGGGAAGCGAAUCGUAUCCAGUGUCUAUAAUCUGCGGCAUAUUUCAUUGGCGGCGGUGCGCGUGCUUUUGCGUCGGAAGCGGCUUUUGUUGCUCUGUGCUUUUGCUGCGCGUGGUGUUGCUGGUGCCCUGUGUUGCGGUGGGACGUCAGAGUCAGUUUGUAUGCUGCGGGAAAUGGCUGCCGAGGAGGUAGGUCGAGAUUUCGGUCUUGGCUGUUAUAUCUUGGUGGUUUGUUGUCGUGGUUGAGACUGAGGUGCCUACAAUGUGCUUUUGAGUGUACCGGGUUCUCAUUUGGUGGACUGUUUGGAUAGCUUGCUAUGCUUGUGGUUUUUUCAUCGGGUGAUUGAGUCUGGUGGUAACUUGUUGCUGUUCGGGACUUUGA
rnacentral:rRNA from 2 species